rnacentral:rRNA from 1 species
CCUACGGGUGGCAGCAGUGGGGGAUAUUGCACAAUGGGGGGAACCCUGAUGCAGCGACGCCGCGUGGGUGAAGGAGUGCUUCGGCAUGUAAAGCCCUAUCGGCAGGGAAGAAGCAAGACGGUACCUGACUAAGAAGCCCCGGCUAACUACGUGCCAGCAGCCGCGGUAAUACGUAGGGGGCGAGCGUUAUCCGGAUUCACUGGGUGUAAAGGGAGCGUAGACGGCCAUGCAAGCCAGGGGGGAAAGCCCGGGGCCCAACCCCGGGACUGCCCUUGGAACUGUGCGGCUAGAGUGCGGGAGGGGCAGGCGGAAUUCCUGGUGUAGCGGUGAAAUGCGUAGAUAUCAGGAGGAACACCGGCGGCGAAGGCGGCCUGCUGGACCGCGACUGACGUUGAGGCUCGAAAGCGUGGGGAGCGAACAGGAUUAGAUACCCUUGGUC